rnacentral:tRNA from 1 species
GCGGGGCGUAUCGCAGCGGAUUGCAAAUCCGUGCACACCGGUUCGAUUCCGGU